GAUGUUGGGAUUAUUGGCCAAAAAGA
rnacentral:piRNA from 1 species